CCAGAAAUGAUGCAGACUUAAUACACUGACUAUUAUGAUGGUUUCAGUAUUCAUACUGUCUGAUCUGG